CAACAACAACAACAACAACAAAACCCUGAACAAUUUUGACAAAUCUGCAUAAUAACUGUUUAUACUGGAGAUUUAUUUUGAUGGCUAAUUGCUGUAUUUGAAAUAUCUGUAAUUGUUAUGAGGUUUCCAAAUACGUGAUGAACAACAUGCAAAUGGCUGCAGUUUCCAACUACAGAAAUUUAUGUAGGAGUGAAGUAUUUCUUACAAGAGUCAGUCAGCUGUAGAGAUUGAUGAGCUAAACUACUAUGGUAAAAAUAAAUACAGCUAGGUAGGAAUUACAGCUGGUAUUGUUCUGUAAUGUGGAGUUAACAAAUCGGCAGUUGAAUGAAAGGAAUCUAAAUGCUAGAUAGUCUUUUUGUUACCUUCUUACUUUGGCUGCGUGUAUUUGCAGAGAGUUUUUGUAGCUUUAUUUAACACCCACAGAAGACAAUGUCAGACUUUCCAUUCUCUUUAAAGAUUUUUUCACAGGUUAGGAAAAUAUGAAUAUAAACCUUCCUGAUGGUGAAAGAGGAGAAAGAUGUGUGCAGAACCUCCCCGUUCUAAGCUGAAGACUAGAUGGGUGCUUAAGGCUUCAGUUCCCCGGCACAGGGCUCGCUGCUCAUUACAACAGCCCUGACUAGAAGCUCACGGGGCGAGGAGGACGACGAUGCCUCAUUCCCAGUGAAGGGGAAGGGGUGCAGAGCCCGUGCUGCCUCUGGAGUAUUUGAAGACCCUCAGUAGGGAUUAGAGCUCCACCGUACAACAGAACAUCAACAUCUGGAAAAUCACAGUAAAGCAUACAGAAUGAUAUUCCUGAAAGCUGAAAUAAAUAGCAAUUCAGCAAGACCUUUAAUAUGAUCUAUGCUGCUUGAGAUCACUGUACUAUUGGCAAAGCCUGUGUGGAGGAAUACCAGUUCUGCCCAGAACUACGGAGCAUGUUCAGUCCACAAUUACAUGUGUCUAUAACAGAUAGCUUUCUGAAAGGAACAACUAAGGGAAAAAAAAAUACCUCUCCAUAUGGACAAACUAUAGAAAUGACUGUCAGUAAGGUAACAAGUGAACAUACAUUAAUUGAGAGUGCCCAAAUAAUAUUCUCCAAAAGCUACUGACGCAGGACAAAGAAGAGAAAAGUUCCUGUCUGUAUGGAAAGCACAAGGGGAAUAGACAAAAAAAUAGUUCACAGAGAAUAACAAAGAAAACAUGAAGAUAAAGUGGGCAAGACAUCAAAAUCUGUGAAGAAUAUUUACAAGUAUAACACAUAGAUAACAAUAUGCAAAAGCAAACCUGUGAGAAAACCUAUGGAGAAUACUGUAAUGAAAAAUGCCCUAUCUCUAGGUUAAUUAUAGCCUGAAAAACAUUAUGUCAGAGGAUGCAGACAAGAAAAAAGAAGGCAAGCAAUUCAUCACACUGGGGACAGAAGCAAUUAGUUGAAGAAUGAGACUUUGCAUAAAUGUAACUAGCUGAAAAAAAAAAAAAAAAAAAGAUUUGUCAAGUUUGAUGUAACACUAGCUAUAAAGACAAGUUGGCAGAAGAAAAACAAGUAAUUGAAGGCCAAAUAGAGAGUCAUGUACGGGCAACUUCACUAGCCUGAAACACUAGCUUUUUUAAUAAAAAAAAUGUAAUUUUACUGAGGAUGUACUACUAUCCAUACGUAGCCAAGCAAGAAAAAUACACAGCCUGAAAUUUCAAGCGUACCAGAAAACAAAGGGGCCAUCACUUUCAAGUAAAACUGCUGCAGUAUUUAUGUGAAGGUCUGUGACACCCUCUAGCCAUAUUAUACCUAAGGAAGGAUACAAUGCUUCAACAAACACAGCAUCUUCCUUUAAGUGUUCAGAGGGUUUCUGGGAAAAAAAAAAAAAAAAAAGACCAAAGCCCAAACCAAAUAAAACCAAAGACAACAACAAAAUAGAAACCAGCAAGCAAUGAAACAAAAUGGAAAAGAAAACUUCAAGUCAGGCACCCCACGUUGAAUGAACAGCAUGACAGUCUACAAGAAAGCUCUAUUUUCUAAAAUCUCAGCAAUUUAUAUAUUAGGUUCCCACUGAGUAAUUACAAUAUGAAAUAUUAGUUCAUUAUAAUAUGUUCAGCAGGUGAAUGUAUUUAUGUAGUCAAUUCUUAUUGCCAAAGGUAAAUAUUGGGUAAUAAUACUCCAUAAAACAAGUAAUUAAUUGAUACUUGACAGGAGCUUUGGAAAUUUUCUAUAUACAAAUGCUGAGAAUACAAUUUGCACUCUAUUAAGAUAACUGAUCUCAAAGUGUGUCAGAAGCCUCACAAAUAGACUGUAAAUCAAUGUACAACAGAUGUUUCAAAAAUAAAAUGUG
ensembl:lncRNA